GAUGAACGCUAGCGGCAGGCUUAAUACAUGCAAGUCGAGGGGCAGCAUGUCCCGUAGCAAUACGGGAUGAUGGCGACCGGCAAACGGGUGCGGAACACGUACAGAACCUUCCUUCGAGCGGGGGAUAGCCCAGAGAAAUUUGGAUUAAUACCCCAUAGUACAACAAAGUGGCAUCACUUUGUUGUUAAAGAUUUAUCACUCGAAGAUGGCUGUUCGGCUGAUUAGGUAGUUGGCGGGGUAACGGCCCACCAAGCCUGCGAUCAGUAACUGGUGUGAGAGCACGACCAGUCACACGGGCACUGAGACACGGGCCCGACUCCUACGGGAGGCAGCAGUAGGGAAUCUUCCGCAAUGGGCGAAAGCCUGACGGAGCAACGCCGCGUGAGUGAUGAAGGUCUUCGGAUCGUAAAACUCUGUUAUUAGGGAAGAACAAAUGUGUAAGUAACUAUGCACGUCUUGACGGUACCUAAUCAGAAAGCCACGGCUAACUACGUG
rnacentral:rRNA from 1 species